rnacentral:rRNA from 1 species
GUGGGGAAUAUUGGGCAAUGGGCGCAAGCCUGACCCAGCAACGCCGCGUGAAGGAAGAAGGCUUUCGGGUUGUAAACUUCUUUUACCAGGGACGAAACAAAUGACGGUACCUGGUGAAUAAGCCACGGCUAACUACGUGCCAGCAGCCGCGGUAAUACGUAGGUGGCGAGCGUUAUCCGGAUUUAUUGGGUGUAAAGGGCGUGUAGGCGGGACAGCAAGUCAGAUGUGAAAACCAGAGGCUCAACCUCUGGCCUGCAUUUGAAACUGUUGUUCUUGAGUGUCGGAGAGGUAAUCGGAAUUCCGUGUGUAGCGGUGAAAUGCGUAGAUAUUAGGAGGAACACCAGUGGCGAAGGCGGCUUACUGGACUGUAACUGACGUUGAGGCUCGAAAGCGUGGGGAGCAAACAGGAUUAGAAACCCGGGUAGUCC